GCAUCAUUGAGAGCCUGGAGUUGGUUAAUAGAACUGACAAAGAAGAAUUUUUCAGAUUAAAAGACUGCAUGAUAUCAAAUGCACUUAAUCACCUAAAUUUUAUCUUUACAUCAAAUGAAGCAAAAUGGGGCCUUCAGUUUAUGUGACCAAGCACCAGCAACCACAAAAUAUCCUUAUGAACAAUAGAAACAAAUUGUAAGU
rnacentral:misc_RNA from 1 species